UCCGAUGUAGUCCAGUGGUUAGGAUUUCUGGUUUUCAUUACAUGAGAAGCCCCAGACGACCCGGGUUCAAAUCCCGGCAUCGGAA